rnacentral:rRNA from 1 species
AUUGAACGCUGGCGGCAGGCCUAACACAUGCAAGUCGAGCGAGCGGCGGACGGGUGCGUAAUGUAUGGUGAAUGCCCGAUAGAGGGGGUUAACUAGUGGAAACGGUGGCUAAUACCGCAUACUAUCGGAUAACCCAUAUGGGAUUAGCUAGUAGGUGGGGUAAAGGCGCACCUAGGCGAAGAGCUCUAGCUGGUCUGAGAGGAUGAUCAGCCACACUGGGACUGAUACACGUCCCAGACUCCUACGGAGGAAGCAGUGGGGAAUAUGGCACAAGGGGCGCAAGCCUGAUGCAGCCAUGCCGCGGGUAUGAAGAAGGCCUUAGGGUUGUAAAGUACUUUCAGCGGGGAGGCGUUACCCGCAGAAGAAGCACCGGCUAACUCCGUGCCAGCAGCCGCGGUAAUAC